rnacentral:rRNA from 1 species
AUACGAAGGUCCCAAGCGUUGUUCGGAUUUACUGGGCGUAAAGCGUGCGUAGGCGGCAAGGUAAGUCAGAUGUGAAAUCCCGGGGCUCAACCCCGGAACUGCAUCCGAUACUGCCUUGCUAGAGUAAUGGAGGGGCAUCUGGAAUUCAUGGUGUAGCAGUGAAAUGCGUAGAUAUCAUGAGGAACACUAGUGGCGAAGGCGAGAUGCUGGACAUUUACUGACGCUCAGGUACGAAGGCUAGGGUAGCGAAAAGGAUUAGAAACCCUAGUAGUCC